GCAGAGCUGUCCCACAGCAUCAGAGGGCGGCGGAGUCCCAAGGCAUUUCGAGAUGGUAUUUUCGGCAGGGUUUGGGGUGGGGAAGUACUUGAAUAGCUGUUCUUCAGCUUUUAUAAUUACCAGGCCACUGAGAUCAAUGUCUGCACAAAUCCGAGCUUCCUAUAGGAUAAGCUGUGCAAUCUCAGGCACCCAGAGCUUCUCUCUUCCUAUCUGUAAACAGAGGAAAUACCUACCACUCAGGAUUGUGAGGAUUGGCAGUGACACAGCUACUCAGCACAGCACUUCCGAGGUGCUCAAUGAAAUGGCAACCGUUACCCAGAAAGGUAUCAUUGGGACACCACAGAAAAUCCUUCUAGAAUCACACAGGGCUGGGGUUUCUGUUUGUUUCACAACAGUCCAUCACUCUCUUCCUAUCAUCACAUCAACCAUGAAAAGGCGAAGCCUGUCUCCGCAGCCUCUGUACCCAGCACCAACCUCCAUCAGCAUCCGUCGAAAGCGUGCUGAAUAAAUGAAUAUAUACAGGAACCUAUCACUCAGACUAAUGACACAAUCCUCACACUCCUGUGUCGGCUGAAAUCCCAAACAUCACCUCUUCUGGGAAGGCUUCUCUAAUCACUGGCACCAGCACCAGGUUUCUUCUCCUGGAUUAAUCUUUCUGUAAGUUGCUAAUAUAACCCUUGUCGGGUUGUAGUAAAUCACAGGAAUCAUAAUGUUCCCUCACCACAUGCUUCCAGUUUGGGAGAUCCUGGAGCAAAGAGAACCUAGAUCUUAUUAUUUGUGUUCCCCAAACCUAGCAUGGCAUAGUGCACAACCCCUAGUAGCUACUCAAUAAAUAUUUGCUGGAUUCAAAUGAAUCAUUAAAUAUACAGAUACAGAUGUGAUAUGUGUUCUAUAUGCAGGCGUAAAUAUUACAUACAAAAGAUACUUACGUAUAUGUAAUAUGUUCUCAUCUUUCUCCUUCAGACAUGGCUCUGCUGACCAGCUUAAGAUACUUCUAGUUUCAAUCACUUUUCAUCCGAUAUUUUCCAGAUAGUUUUUGGCAAGUUCUUGCUGCUAUUAAUAGCUCACCUCUCAAGGGGUCAAUCAAAUGCAUGGAAAUUUUCUUUUGCCCUUGCUGUCUUGCCAAUUUGGAAAGCUCACAACUGAGGGCACUCGUUUUCCAGUGUUUGAAGAUCAAAAUGUAAAUUUUUCCUGCCCCCUUGUUAAAUAUUUAGUCACAGAUUAGUACUUCUAUCCAAGUGGCCAUUUUAAUUUAUUGCUCAUAAUAUAUAUGAUUUGGCGAGGAGGUUGGAUUUAGAAAAUCUAAGGCUUGUAGGUAGGGACAAGAGAAGAUCAAAAUAAUGAACUGAGAAAAAAAUGUAUUGUUCUGGGCCAUAAUCUACCAAUGAUAGGUAAAAGAAUGCAGCCUACUUGAGGGGAGUCCCCAGAGAUUCCCAUGGGCUGCAGUGGCAUUUGGUUUACCUCUGAGCUUUCUCCCUCUAUGAAGAAGAGACUACCCCACCAGGCAACUGUACCUGAAUUGGAAGUUUCAUCACCAACUCCAGUGAAAUCGUGAAGGUUGCUUCCCAUCUUUUCAGGUGCUCUUCUAAGUGUGUUGGGAGGAGAGGGAGCCUUUGGCAACAACUGGCUCAAUUCCCUUCCUCCUCCAAGCCUCUGUGGGUUCGUUUGAUCUCCAAAACAAAUUCUAGCUUCCCGUUUACCUAGCUAGUUAGCCUCCUUUUUCUUCCUCUGGAAAUUCCUGGCCACUAACUCUUCCAUUCAGGAACUCACAUGGGAAUGAGCCAUCCCCUGACCAAGGAAAGGUUUAGAAAGAACAAGUGAGGAACAAUGACACUAAAACAUUAAUUCACUGGAUCCUAAUUUGGAAUGUGUUUGAAGUUCACCAGGAGAUUUGAAAAUUCAGAUGCCCUGGUGUCAGCCCCUGAGAUCAUCAGAUGCUGAGUCUGUAGGGCAGCUCUGGAUGCUGCAUUUCUAACCAGCACCCUAUGAUUGUGACUUGGGUGGCCCACAAAACAGAUUUGAAGAAAUACUGAAAUAGAGUGACUUUAAAAAUGGGAGGGGGCCCAAGUUAAAUCAUACUCUAGUGCGUGGUCACAGUGCUGAUAGAAUUUAGUUUAAACCUUGAUGAAAAUUUUGUAAUAUUUAUUCCAUCCUCAGACACAUGUUGUAUUAGCCAAUACACAAAAUGGACCCGCAGUUGAUGUACGCUGUUUUAAAAUACUUGUUUAGGGGAAAGAUUUCAGUACUUUUCAUCCUGUGUAUACUGAAAAAGAUGAGUUUCACUGUGUCCACGAGCAUGACACUGGAACUUAUGCAAAUGUGUGUUUUGUGGUAUACAGUGUGGCACAGUAUUAUGGCACAUGCAGAAUUUAUGGUUUUCUCGUAGGGGGCUGCCCCCUACUGAAUAUACUAUCUCUCCUUCUAUUUAUUUAGAUGGCUAAAUCAUCCAUUAUUUUAUCUUUGACUCAGACUUCCAUUUAUACUAUGUAAGCAUGGUUGCCAGGGUAAUUUUUUUUAAUAAAAUUUUUGGCAGGAAGAAAUGAAUUAUAUACUAGCAAGUACAGACCAGAUAUUGCUUAUUAUUUUUACAAUUUAUAUAGAUGAUUCAAUAAUUCUGUCCAGUGCUGAAUUACCCUGUGUACUCAGGGCACCGGUAAAACCAGGCUACGGGAGAGAGAGAGGUUCAGCUUUGAUUAACAUAACCAGUACUGUGCAAUCAGCAUAUCGAAAGAGAAGCUAUUUUCGUUCUACAGAUGCAUGGAUUUUGCUUGCUAGUUGGCCAGUAUCUUUAUUUUUAAUUUACACAAGAGACAGGACAUAGGGAUCUUCUUGGGGCUUGGGACUUCAAUCCUAUUGGUUCGGUCGUAAACAUUUUCCUUCCAGAAGUUGGGAAGCUCGCGUCCUCCCCCAUUGGCUCUUCCAAUUCAGUCAAAUCAUCGUGCAUCUAAAUUGGUAGACUAUUUAGGUAAGAUAUUUUCUAGCUCGUCAUUUUGUGCACAACAGAUUCUCAUUCCGAACUCCUAUCUCCCCUGCUGAUUAUUCUCCUUGUUCAGUUCUGCUCUACUUACUUAUGAAAAGGCAUCAUUCUAAGUCAAUCAUAUGCUAUUUUUACACCUUCAUCAGAUACUUCCACUUCCAGAUAUCUUCAUUUAAUAAUCUCCAAAAAAGCAAUUAUAAAAAUAAACAUAUUACUAGUCUCUCUCUUCUGCUUUGUGGCUGUUGUUCUUAUUGCUGUUGUUCCCUUUUCCUAAUUUUAUGUCCCCUCCUUAUUAUCUCUUUUACCAACCUCAGCACCCGCCUUUACUGGGACAGCUAAAAUGGACACGGAAAUAAAAGCCGGGUAAUAAUGAUACCCAGCCUGCAAAAGCCACAGACCAGGGCUGUGUUCUGCGGCCAAUCCCAGUAACUCAGUGAAGUGUGGGGUUACCUCAGGCAAGCUUCUCUCAAAUGAGGAUAACAAUACCAGGCUCUACAGAUCUCAUUAGAAUCUCGAGUCCCCAGUGAAAUCAUAGAUGCAAAAAUACUUUGAAAAAAAGGUAAAGGUCUCCUCAAAUGAGAGAAGGUGAGAGUAACAGCUCUUUGAAUGGCAAUUUCAGGUUGUCACAGAAAAUACAUGACUAAGAUGAUUUACAUUUCAUCUCAGUGUACAGCAAGAAUCACCAAGGGCAGUAGAUAAGGCAGUCGAUAAAUCAUCAUUAACAACUUAUUUGCAUGAUGUAUGAAUUAGUGGGCCAAACAUAAGAAAUGCAUUUUGGAUCUCUGCGGUGUUCAGGAGUGAUGUACUGGUCGAUGAAAUCCACAGGAAGCAGAACCUUUGAAGAAAGGAUACAGUGGACUUGAAAAAGCCAGCCAUUGCCCAUUGGAAAAUAUACAAUCAGACCACCUGGAAAGAGAGAAGAAACAAAACAACACACGAUGAGAGCUCAGAAUUCCUGGAGCCCAAAGGAGAUUCCUUAGGAACCAACUUGCCCUACUUUGGAAAUCUGCCCAUCAUUUUAGAAAUGCUAAUUAUGCCUAUUUAAUGCCUGGUUUUCACAAUCAAGAUGACGUAUCUCAGGACACUGAGGAUAGAGAGCCUGACUUCAAGGACUGAGGGCGUCCAUGGUUCCCUUGCCAUUGAAGGGUGCACACAUAUCUCUGCCUCGUGCCAGAGUAGAGGAAAUAUUCUCCAAAGAAGGCAGCAGACCAAUAAAUUAAUUCCUUAUGAUAAAUUCCAAAUGCUCCUUAAAGAAUGAUGUUUUUCUUAUUAAAGUCUUUUGAGACAUGUACCAUCAGUCAGAAUGUCAUGGGGCUUAUCAAUAUUGUAUCUCCAGCAUGAAUUUGUAAGAAAGUGUUUUUAGAGAUCAAAAAAGUUCACAGAAAAUGCAGUAAU